rnacentral:rRNA from 1 species
AGUGAACGCUGGCGGUAGGCCUAACACAUGCAAGUCGAACGGCAGCACAGUAAGAGCUUGCUCUUACGGGUGGCGAGUGGCGGACGGGUGAGGAAUACAUCGGAAUCUACUUUUUCGUGGGGGAUAACGUAGGGAAACUUACGCUAAUACCGCAUACGACCUACGGGUGAAAGCAGGGGAUCUUCGGACCUUGCGCGAUUGAAUGAGCCGAUGUCGGAUUAGCUAGUUGGCGGGGUAAAGGCCCACCAAGGCGACGAUCCGUAGCUGGUCUGAGAGGAUGAUCAGCCGCACUAGAACUGAGACACGGUCCAGACUCCUACGGGGGGCAGCAGUGGGGAAUAUUGGACAAUAGGCGCAAGCCUGAUCCAGCCGUACCGCGUGGGUGAAGAAGGCCUUCGGGUUGUAAAGCCCUUUUGUUGGGAAAGAAAAGCAGCAGGUUAAUACCCCGCUGUUCUGACGGUACCCAAAGAAUAAGCACCGGCUAACUUCGUG